GAUGAACGCUGGCGGCGUGCCUAAUACAUGCAAGUCGAGCGAACGGACGAGAAGCUUGCUUCUCUGAUGUUAGCGGCGGACGGGUGAGUAGCACGUGGAUAACCUACCUAUAAGACUGGGAUAACUUCGGGAAACCGGAGCUAAUACCGGAUAAUAUUUUGAACCGCAUGGUUCAAAAGUGAAAGACGGUCUUGCUGUCACUUAUAGAUGGAUCCGCGCUGCAUUAGCUAGUUGGUAAGGUAACGGCUUACCAAGGCAACGAUGCAUAGCCGACCUGAGAGGGUGAUCGGCCACACUGGAACUGAGACACGGUCCAGACUCCUACGGGAGGCAGCAGUAGGGAAUCUUCCGCAAUGGGCGAAAGCCUGACGGAGCAACGACGCGUGAGUGAUGAAGGUCUUCGGAUCGUAAAACUCUGUUAUUAGGGAAGAACAUAUGUGUAAGUAACUGUGCACAUCUUGACGGUACCUAAUCAGAAAGCCACGGCUAACUACGUG
rnacentral:rRNA from 1 species